UCCGGGUACUGGGACUGGCUGACCUUCUCUGCCCUAGGAGCCUGGGAUGGCGGCGGGGGAGCUUUCUUCCGCGUGCUGGGAUGGGCUCAGCUUCUCCACCUAUUAGUUAUAUUUUGAAAAAGAAUAAACUAGAGAUUUCAAAAUUUUCCAAGUGUCUCUCACUAAUUAAUUGCAAAGGAAAACCUGGAAGUCCAAAUGAUGGGGUGAAUCAAGGACAAGCUAAGCAUAAAACUCAAGUUCUUUUUUUUUUUUGGUACUGGUUAUCAAACUCGGAACCUUGUGAUUUCAAGGCAGGCAGUGAAACCACUGAGCUAAAUCCCUGGCCAAACUCAAGUUCUUAACUGGCAGUCUAGUGAUACCACUGCAUGCAACAACAGUGGGUGAAAAUUAACAUCCAAUCCCUUGAUAGAUUUACAAAUUGUAAGCCUCCAAAGAGCAACUCUGGCAUCAACUGAUAACUAACAUUUUCAAUACUGAGGAUGCACUAUCUUUCUUCUCUGGAGAAACCAAAUGCCCUGAAGUCUGAAAACCACCUGCCGCCAACUGUUAGGAGAACCUGAAUCAUUGUGCUCAAGACUGCACUAUCCCAGGCUCAUCAGCACCAGCAAAUAUAAAUGCUGACUCCUGUUGGGUUUUUAUUCAAAAAGUACUGUGAAUCUCUUCCAGGAUGCCCACACAUUGACCAUUGCUGUGGUAACUUCCCUCCAAGAGCUCCCCAAAGUGUGUCUUUUUGGUCUCCAAGCUGUAGUCUCUCUGCACCAAGACCCGUGUUGCUUUGCUGAUCUCAGGCCACGGACAAUAACACUUGCUGAUCUUCUCAGAGCCUGGUUACCUCCAAGGAAAAAGUCUUUAGCUAUUUAUACCUGUUUCCAUCUGUUGCCUCAGUCUCUCUCUGCAGCCAUAGGCACCUUCAUAGCAGAGCUCCUUGAGUGAGGCCUUUAGCUUACCUCUUUUCUUCCUCAUAGGCUUAGAGAAGAGAUACACAGGGCACAGCAGGUAAUGAUCUCUCCUGUCCCAACACCUCCUGGAGCUUAAGAUUGGGGGUCAUUCCCUGGAACUUGAGAACAGUGUGCCAGGAAUGUGCUUUCCUGCCAGCUGCUCCCAUUCCUAUGGGAAUGUGCUGCCCUUGAGAUUAGCAUGGACACAGGAGAGGUUUCCUGAAUUGCUGGAGGGCCACGUUCCAGCUGCCAGAGGGUGACCUGAGUCUGAGCCUGAACCAGAGUAACCUCUGCCUCUGUCCUGUGGAGCAACUCCUUCAUUAAAAGGAAGGUGUCUGGCAAGCAGGAGUAUGAUUCUCUUCAAAAAGAGCCCCUGGGGUGUGCUCCAGAACAAGACAGCCCAGGUCUUCUGCUCAGCACAUCUGCUGCAGCCUUCUCAGCUCCACCAGCUCUAAAGUAGUACACCCUUGCAGUCAAGCUUCUCAGGAUGCUGGUGUGCAGGAUCACCUGAGCCCAGAAGUUCAAGGGCAGCCAGUGUAACACAGUGAGACCAAUCUCAAUAACCAAAUAAAAAUAAAAAUAAAAAUAAAAUCAGGUUUCAUCUGAUGGGCUCUAAGUCUGACAGAAUCUUGACCCCUCCAGCUUCACGCACAUGCAGAGACCAGGCAGCCCUCACCAAAGCUGCUGUGAACCCUGACUUUGAGUGGUGGGACAAGGUGUUUCCUGGAUCACCAAGGGGAGACCUGCCUCCCCUAGAGGGUGAGUGGGUCACGUGGUAGGGCAUAUAGGGAAGAACCUCACUAGAGACAGGGAUCUGGUGGCCUUCUCCAGCAGGACUGGAGACUGCUUGCUAAGGAGACUCCUGGUCACAAGGGCAGCCUAGCAGUGUUUAUCAGCAGCCCUUGCUAGCUGAGAGUACUAUAGUUUACAUGUAAAACACAGUUCAUAGGGAAUUGCUGAAAAUAAAAAGAGGAAAAUGGUAUUUGUGAGGAAAACCUUGGACAGAGAAACUGCAACAGCUACCCCAUUUCUCCCAUCUUCACCCUCACUUUGCCUCCAGCUGUGUGGCCUCAGCCAUCAAUCCUGUCUUUUAUCACUAGGCUUUAAAUGGACUAGAAAAGAAAUGCCUGCUGUAAAUUCCAGCUCUCAGCCUGUGAUUUAAUCUUUGCCCUCAUACCUGCCUGCUGCGGUCUGCAGUGGCUGGCCCACUCUUGUCACUUAUUAUAAACACCAGUGUGUUUCUGCAUAGUCUCUGCUUUUAUGAGUCUGCUGCUUUGGAAACAAAUCACAGGUCCCAGGUUCCCUAAGCCCUGUGGUGUGGAAUUUCUGGUAUGACAGCAUUUAGCUUCUGAACAAACAUGUUUGGCUUUGCCUCCUUUGGAGAGAGCACAAAGGGAAGAGCUGAAACUAGCACAAAGAGGUGCACAUCUCAGCAGCAGGACUUCCUUUCCACCAGCGGUGUUCGUGCUCACACUCCUCCAGGCCUCUUUUGUGGCGUCUAGGGUGCCCCUUUCUGGAUUUGGGCAGCUAACAUUUUGAUCAGGGGACAAAUUUUGUGUUAUCUCAUUGCAGCUGAAGGAGUCCUGAAGAGCCAGUGACUGAUCUGGAUAGUAUCUGUCACCUGUGACCAGGGUCUUGGAGUGAGGGGAAGAGAGGCACAACAACACAGGCAGCCAUGUCCCACACCAUUUUGGAACGGCCACUUUCCUUGGGGCUGUGACAGUCUAGAGGAGGAGACAGCUAUUGCCAAGGCACAGGGCCUUGCUUUAAGAUUUACCUGGCUGCUGGGAGUAAGAGGGGCAUAGGAGGCUGGCUAGGGAUCUACCGUGUCCUUUGAGGAGCAGCAAGCUUUGCAUCACUUCAAAGCCCUGAUGAAGGUGCGUGUUUGGUGCAGAAAUCUCGGAAGAAAUACAAGGAGACACAGAAUUCGGAUAAAAUAAUAAAAUUUCUUCUUGCAAGCGGGCAGGAAUGCCAGAAACAGAAAAGUCACCAAGUCAUUCUGCCCCAGCAUCUACACUCAAAAUGGAGAAAACUGCUACUUUACAAAAGGAACCACUCAGUAAAGCACAGUCUAAAAGCCACUGUCUGUGCCAUGAGGAUUCUAGUGGGCAGGAUGCAGCUUCAAAGCCACUGUUCUAUACCAUGGGGAGUCACUCUGGGCAGGGCACAGACUGCUCACCACAGGAGGCCAUGCACAGUUCACCCUCCUCUGAUCACCACGUGGACAAGCCCAGGCCAGCCUGCUGGAUGAUGAAGGAUUCAUGACCCAGCCAUCUUCGCCACUUCAAACAACAGGCAGAAGCAGAGUUCCUACCUGAUCUACAGCUGAGGCAAGGUGACACUGAAGAAUCAUUCAGUUGGUCCCUAGUCUGGAAAGCAACUAUAUAUGAUUACUAAAGCCACUGAGUUUGGAAUGUUGUUGUAACUGAUACGUCUUUUGUUUAUGACUUGUCAUUACUAACAACGCCACAGUUGGUAUGUUUGCACCUCUGAACAGUCUCUGAAUAGGAUAUGUUCCUAGAAGAAACUGCUAGAUCAGGUUUGCGAGAUUUUGGUAAAUAUUGUCAACUGUCUUCCUCAGAACUUAAAGCAAUUAUACUUUCACCAAUAAUAUAAUAGAGGUCUGUUUCCUCACACCUUCUCCAAUUAACCCAGCAUCAAUUUUUUUUUAUCAUUUUUGUCAGUCUUCUUUUUUUGAGGAGGGAUUACUAGGGAUUGAAUCCAAGGAUACUCUACCACUGAACUAUACCCCUAGGCUUUUUUAAAUUUGAUGUGAGAACAGGGUCUCAUUAAUAGUUGUCCAGGCUGCUCUCAAACUCACUACCCUCCUGCCUCCGCUAACUCUGCAUUUCUUUUUUUUUGGUACCAGCAAUCGAACUCGGACCUUGCACUUAUGAGGCAGGUGGCAGAACCACUGAGCUAAAAUCCCUGGCCCAAAUCUGCAUUUCUUUCAUAAUUGCCAUUGACUAUCUUCUCAUAUGAUUGGAAAAAUCAUUGGAUAUCCUUUUAUAUUAUAUUAAUUGUCCUUUAUGUAUAGUGUGUUGUAGUCUAUUAAUUUGUAGAAGCUCCAUCUAGGUUGAGGAAACUAACCUUUUGUCAUCUUUAAAAUAUUUUUUUUGAAAUAGGGUCUUGCUAUGUAGUUCAGGUAGGC